rnacentral:rRNA from 1 species
CGGACGGGUGAGUAAUGUCUGGGAAACUGCCUGAUGGAGGGGGGUAACUACUGGAAACGGUAGCUAAUACCGCAUAACGUCGCAAGACCAAAGAGGGGGACCUUCGGGCCUCUUGCCAUCGGAUGUGCCCAGAUGGGAUUAGCUAGUAGGUGGGGUAACGGCUCACCUAGGCGACGAUCCCUAGCUGGUUUGAGAGGAUGACCAGCCACACUGGAACUGAGACACGGUCCAG